rnacentral:lncRNA from 1 species
AAGUGAGAAGGACAAGAACUGAAAAUAUAAAUACCAGAUCCGAGACAUAUAAAAAACAACCCAAAUCACAAAAUCAUUCCAAAAUAGAAUAUACACACCAGUCAGUCCACCAAAUUUAAAUCCUAAUUAGAUUAACCAGCUCGAGACUUGGAAAAAUUAAACAGCAAAUUCCAGAUAAAAAUAAACCAUAAAUAACUACACACAGUAAAAGAAAUAGAGCGAAAUUCAACAAAUACAUAUAUACCUCAGAAAGCUAAAACACAACAAAUUAAUCAAGCUUGACAGAAUGUGAAUCUACGAUUCCAAGAUCCAACAGCGUUAACAACUUCCAAGCAAUCUGCAUAAGAUUUCAAGCUUUUACUUACAUGAACAUAAUCAAUUGCUUGUAUAUAUAUAUAUAUAUAUAUAUAUAAAUGUAGUAUAUGUAUAUGCUUGGUGGUGGUUGAAAAUACCUGAGGGAAGGAGGAAUUUAGUAAAGCAACAGCAACCAAUAAUAAAUGCAAGGAAACUGAUGGAAAAAAACACAAAAAAAUAAAUAAAUAAAGCGACGCCCUCCCCUCAGGGCCUCAGCUUUUCAUCUCUUUCCUUUUAUUUCCCCGCAUAUCAGUCUCUCUCUCUCCUCAGCCUUUUGUUCUUUCUUUG